rnacentral:lncRNA from 1 species
CCAAGAGCCAGGCCCACUGAUGUGGUGAUUGGCGCUCUGGGAAGUGGAGUGGAGGAGGCCGAGUCAUCACUCAUCAUCUCUUGUCUCUCUGAGGUGGACCAGAAUGACACAGGCUUCUCUCCCUAACGUGCCACUGUGAGACCACAGGAGAAGGGAAGUGGAGGACUUCUUCCACUCGAUUCUAACCCACGACAGGUUCUCACUGUGUAGCCCUGGUUGGCCUUGAACUCUGGCAAUCCUUCUGCCUCAGCCUCUCACGUGCUUGGAUUACAGGCUUGCUCAUCUGUUACUGCAACACUCUGUCAUCUUUGUCAAAAGUCAGACCAGCAGGCAAGAAUGAGAAUUGAGAAUCACUGCCCUAACAGGGGUAUUUGACCCUGACCAGUAGAAGAGGAGGCUGCUGUUACAUAACUGGGACAAAGAGGAAUACUUACAGAACUCAGGUGAUCCCUGGGGGCACUUUUUUUUUUUUUUUUUUGGUACCGGAAUCGAACUUGAGAUCGAACUCGGGUCUUUGAGCUAGAACUUAUUUAAAUAUGCUUCUUUUUUUUUUUUUUUUUUGGUACCAG